rnacentral:rRNA from 1 species
AACUUUCAACAACGGAUCUCUUGGUUCUGGCAUCGAAAAAAAACGCAGCGAAAUGCGAUAAGUAAUGUGAAUUGCAGAAUUCAGUGAAUCAUCGAAUCUUUGAACGCACAUUGCGCCCAUUACUAUUCUAGUGGGCAUGCCUAUUCGAGCGUCAUUU